CCCCUCUCAGGGUUGCAUGUGGAGAGUUUCCAGUACUCUACCAGUCUUGACUACAGGAGGGACAGUCAAGCAGAGGCCCAUUCCAAUCCUAGCUUCGGCAGUGGCUAGCGAGUGGAAGGCAAUCUGCUACAAGU